UACAGAGGUCUCAAGCGUUGUUCGGAUUCAUUGGGCGUAAAGGGUGCGUAGGUGGGCUGGUAAGUCCGUGGUGAAAUCUCCAAGCUUAACUUGGAAACUGCCGUGGAUACUAUUAGUCUUGAAUCUCGUGGAGGUAAGCGGAAUAUGUCAUGUAGCGGUGAAAUGCUUAGAUAUGACAUAGAACACCGAUAGCGAAGGCAGCUUGCUACACGAGUAUUGACACUGAGGCACGAAAGCGUGGGGAUCAAACAGG
rnacentral:rRNA from 1 species